rnacentral:rRNA from 1 species
UUGAACGCUGGCGGCAGGCUUAACACAUGCAAGUCGAACGGAACCUUCGGGUUUAGUGGCGAACGGGUGAGUAAUACCUAGGAAUCUGCCUAUUAGUGGGGGAUAACGGCUCGAAAGGGUCGCUAAUACCGCAUACGUCCUACGGGAGAAAGUGGGGGAUCUUCGGACCUCACGCUAAUAGAUGAGCCUAGGCCGGAUUAGCUAGUUGGUAGGGUAAAGGCCUACCAAGGCGACGAUCCGUAGCUGGUCUGAGAGGAUGAUCAGCCACACUGGAACUGAGACACGGUCCAGACUCCUACGGGAGGCAGCAGUGGGGAAUAUUGGACAAUGGGCGCAAGCCUGAUCCAGCCAUGCCGCGUGUGUGAAGAAGGCCUUCAGGUUGUAAAGCACUUUAAGCGAGGAGGAAGGUCUUUGAACUAAUAUUUCAAAGAAUUGACGUUACUCGCAGAAUAAGCACCGGCUAACUCUGUGCCAGCAGCCGCGGUAAUACAGAGGGUGCAAGCGUUAAUCGGAAUUACUGGGCGUAAAGCGCGCGUAGGCGGUAUGUUAAGUCGGAUGUGAAAUCCCUGGGCUCAACCUAGGCAUUGCAUCCGAUACUGGCACACUAGAGCGUGGGAGAGGAAGGUAGAAUUCCAGGUGUAGCGGUGAAAUGCGUAGAGAUCUGGAGGAAUACCGAUGGCGAAGGCAGCCUUCUGGCCUAACACUGACGCUGAGGUGCGAAAGCAUGGGGAGCAAACAGGAUUAGAUACCCUGGUAGUCCAUGCCGUAAACGAUGUCAACUAGCCGUUGGGCUCCUUGAGGGCUUAAUGGCGCAGCUAACGCGAUAAGUUGACCGCCUGGGGAGUACGGUCGCAAGACUAAAACUCAAAUGAAUUGACGGGGGCCCGCACAAGCGGUGGAGCAUGUGGUU